CCUACGGGAGGCAGCAGUGGGGAAUCUUCCGCAAUGGACGAAAGUCUGACGGAGCAACGCCGCGUGAGUGAUGACGGCCUUCGGGUUGUAAAGCUCUGUUAAUCGGGACGAAAGGCCUUCUUGCGAAUAGUUAGAAGGAUUGACGGUACCGGAAUAGAAAGCCACGGCUAACUACGUGCCAGCAGCCGCGGUAAUACGUAGGUGGCAAGCGUUGUCCGGAAUUAUUGGGCGUAAAGCGCGCGCAGGCGGAUCAGUCAGUCUGUCUUAAAAGUUCGGGGCUUAACCCCGUGAUGGGAUGGAAACUGCUGAUCUAGAGUAUCGGAGAGGAAAGUGGAAUUCCUAGUGUAGCGGUGAAAUGCGUAGAUAUUAGGAAGAACACCAGUGGCGAAGGCGACUUUCUGGACGAAAACUGACGCUGAGGCGCGAAAGCCAGGGGAGCGAACGGGAUUAGAUACCCCAGUAGUC
rnacentral:rRNA from 1 species